rnacentral:lncRNA from 1 species
CUCCUCUUAAAACACUUAUAGUUUUAUAUCCAAACAAGCUCUUAGUCCAUUUCUUAGGAACAGCAAAAAUAAACUUUUUACUAAUUCCCACAAAUUAUAUGCAAAAAAACACUGAAUUUAAGAAACCAAAUAAUCAAAAUGAUGUUACAAAGCCAAAAUGCCAAAUACUAAAGGAGUUGAAUGUUGAAUGCAAGGUGGGGGAAUCGUUCUCCCCCAAUCACCCAAAAAGGCAUGUAGAUAUAUAACUGUGAUCUUAAAGCAGAUGCCAAAUACUAAAGGAGUUGAAUGUUGAAUGCAAGGUGGGGAAUCGUUCUCCCCCAAUCACCCAAAAAGGCAUGUAGAUAUAUAACUGUGAUCUUAAAGCAGAGGUUCCAAACUACAAAAAUUCAUAUAAAAAUGUCAAUGGACCACAUUGGAUUUAUUUGGCUCAAGGUAACAAAGAUGUGCUACAUUUUAGCUUGAAUGGAGGAUACGUCCCAAUUCCCCAUACUCCACCCACUUUUUCACAAUAUCUUUCUGCAGAUCUUAAACUAGUUUUAGUCUGUUAAAUGCGAUAAAAUUCAAUAAAUUCAACGAUGAAAUAUAACCUUAGCAGAAAAUGUGAUGUGAUAACUGAUAAGAAUACAACUAACACAGCCAAAGAUAAUUAUGCUGCUUAACAUAUUAUAUGACAGUAGCUAAAAUUUCUCUAAGUGAGCCCAGAGUUAACCAGAGAAACCCAGUGAAGUGGUAAAAUGUUGAUCAAACAACUCAUGUGAGACAUCUACCCAAUUGAUUACACGUGCUAACACAGUCACAAAGCACAACAAAACUUGCAUUUACCGAAGAGAAAGAUCACGAGCUCAACUGGCAACGAAACG